ensembl:lncRNA
AUAAAAAGGUGAUCAUUAUGGAAAGUUCCAUAAGGAAUAUUAAGUUGUCUAACUUAUGUCAAUAUUUUGUCAAACAACCACAAGAAAUAAUUUGUAGGCAAUUUCCUCAAACCAUUGUUUGUCAUUACAUGGAUAUUUUGUUGUCAGAUUCUGAAGAAAUAUUUUAGAGAAAGAGUUAAAUGAAACAAACAAUUCUGCCAUUCUGGGUUAGAGAUUGCUCACCCCCCCCCAAAAAAAAAAAAAACCUACAGUGAGGAAAUUCUUUUAACUCUGUGGGUAUAAAAUAAGUCAACAGAAAAUUCAACCACAAAAGAUACAGAUCACCUGCAAAGUCUUUGGUUUUCAUAUACUAAUGGUAGAUAAUAAUUUGCUACCAGGUAACAUUGAAUUAACUACUCAGGAGUUGAUUAAUUUGUUUGAAACAUUACAAGGAGAUUUAGACUUAAACAGUCCAGGAUGGUUAACAGGUGAAACAAAGUAAGAGUUAACUCUGGUAGAACAGAGACUCAAAAAUGUUUAUGUGGGAGCAGAAACGCAGCCCCUGAAGAAAGGAAUAGGGAGGCAAAGUUUAGAACAGAGGCAGAAGGAACACCCAUUCAGAGCCUGCCCCACAUGUGGCCCAUACAUAUACAGCCACCAAACUAGAUAAGAUGGAUGAAGCAAAGAAGUGCAGGCUCACAGGAACCGGAUGUAGAUCUCUCCUGAGAGACAUAGCCAGAAUACAGCAAAUACAUAGGUGAAUGCCAGCAGCAAACCACUGAACUGAGAACGGGACCCCUGUUGAAGGAAUCAGAGAAAGGACUGGAAGAGCUUGAAGGGGCUUGAGACCCCAUAUGAACAACAAUGCCAACCAACCAGAGCUUCCAGGGACUAAGCCACUACCCAAAGAGUAUACAUGGACUGACGCUGGGCUCCAACCUCAUAGGUAGCAAUGAAUAGCCUAGUAAGAACACCAGUGGAAGGGGAAGCCCUUGGUCCUGCCAAGACUGAACCCCCAGUGAAGCACAAGAGGAGCUUCCCUGGAGGCUUCUGGACGCAGGAACCUAGUAGCCAUGAAGGAUCCAUCUGGUUUCCACCUGCACCCAAACUGAAAGCCAGUCUCCAGCAGUGCUAACACACCAGAGAACAG